GCGGCCUCGGCCCACAUUCACGUGUCCGGAGGGCCGGGCUGCGGGUCUGUCUUUUUUGCGGCGGCGGGAGAACAGGGCGACUGCAGCGGCCGGAGUCAUGGCAGGACAGGCAUUUAGAAAGUUUCUUCCCCUCUUCGACCGAGUAUUAGUCGAAAGGAGUGCAGCUGAAACUGUAACCAAAGGAGGCAUUAUGCUUCCAGAAAAAUCUCAAGGAAAAGUGUUGCAAGCAACAGUAGUAGCUGUUGGAUCAGGCUCUAAAGGAAAGGUAAAUGGUGUCUAAAAUGAGCUGUUUUAUGUUAAGUGUAGAGGAAAAAAGAAUCCCUGUAUUAAAAGUAACCUUUUAAAUUAUCUGCCACCCUAAGGGAAAUGAUUGCGAAAUAAAAUUACUUUAUAUGAGGGAGAGUUCCAGAGUAUAAAAACCAGUAACAGUACAACCAGCAUUUUCUUCAAAUUCUAAAUUAUUGACAAAGCAAAAAAUUACGGUUAAAAAUCUGGAGGUGGGAAUUUUUGGGAAUUGAGGGGAAUUUGACUCUUGGUAUCACAUCUAAUACACUGAAAUUGCCUUAAUCUUUUUUUUUGUAAAAGAUUUAUUUAUUUAUGCAUACAAGAGCUGGGGUACAGGCCAGAGAUGCGGAGGGUGACAGGAUUCACCAGAGACAGCGGGAAACUCAGGUAGACUGAAAUACACUGCUGAGGGGAGCAGCGGGCAAGACAGGAGAGAUCUGCUUCGCCAUGUGCGUUGCUCCCAGUCCAGCAGGGGAUUAAACUCAGGGAUCGAAAAUCAUGCUGCAGAGGCUGUGGGACUGCUCCAUAGUGUGGUGCUUAACCUCUUGUGCACCAGGGAGGCCCCCCAGUUGCCUUAAUCUUUUAACUUCUUGAAGCCUUAGUUGGCCUAUCUAUGAAAGGAACAGGUUGAACUAUCCUUCCUUGACUUCUCCAGUUAAGUAAAGUCAGGUAAAUGCCCUUGGGAUCGAAUGUGUUGAUUGUCUCUGUUGUCUCUAGGAAAAUUAGUUCUAGCAUUGAAACUAACCUGUGAGUUAAGAAAAGGAGGGCUGGGCCUCCCUGGUGGGGCAAGGGAUUAAGACUCAGCACUGUGAAGCUAUCUGCAGCCACCAUCAGCAGCAGUUGGAUCCCCUGCUAGGGAGCUGAUGCAUAUGACUCAGCAGACCUCUCCUGUCUCACCUGCUCCCCUCAGCAGUGUAUUUCAGUAGAUCCUCCUGUUCUGCUCCCCACUCUAUCUCUGGUGAAUCCUCUCAACCCCCGCACCUCUGGCCUGCACCCCAGCUUUGUAUGCAUAAAAAAAUAAAUCUUUAAAAAAAAAACCACACAAAAACACGGCGGCUUACAGUGUACUUCAGCCCCUCUCCCCAAAUCUGUAUUUUGGAGAAACCAAAAUUGAAGUAUAUGUUACAGAUUUGAGAAACUUCUGUUAAAUUUUUGUAUGUUGAAAGAAAUCAAACAUGACCUUCGUGUAUAUAGUUUUCAAGACAGGUUUGUUUCAAAUAACCCAUAGGUUAAUAUUUAAUGAUUAAAAAGUUAGAUAUAGUUAAAGUCAGCUUUCCCAGUAUAAUUACUUGAACACUUACUCUGAAAUCAAGUUUUACUUUAGGCCACCUUGUGCACAUUUCAAAGUGUAAUUCUACAAUGAUAUUUUUUCAAGUACUCUUAAUUGUAACAUGAAUUAUAUCACUUGGCAACAAAGUCUCUAAUGUUCGAUUCGAGUGAGAAUAUUUGAUUAAUGAAAAUUAAAUGUAAAUAUCUGUUGAACUAGUUAUCUUUGCUAAUAACAUUCUCAUUUUCUUAAGGGUGGAGAGAUUCAACCAGUUAGUGUGAAAGUUGGAGAUAAAGUUCUUCUCCCAGAAUAUGGAGGCACCAAAGUAGUUCUAGAUGACAAGGAUUAUUUCUUAUUUAGAGAUGGUGAUAUUCUUGGAAAGUAUGUAGACUGAAACCAAGAUUGAAAUGGCAUCAUGUGAAGCAGCCCAUUCCACUCAAGUUCUGAAAUCUUUCAUCAUGUAAAUAAUUUCUGUGUCUCUUUUAUAAUAAACUAAUGCUAUCCAAACUGUGAUGACAUCCAGUGUCUCUAAAAUUUAGUUUCACUGUACUUACAUAAACAUUUCCAAAUAAAAGCAUAUAAAUGAAUGGUAAAUCUUUAUUUAGUGAUUGAAGGUGGCUUUAGGGUUCUCUAGUUUUGUUUUUUUUUUUUACAAAUAACCUGCAGCAGAUUCUGAGAAAGCUUUCCAUUUUCACAUUGAAAUUAGCCUUAAUACAUAAAUAAUUGAUGCUGAUACAGUAAUGAAUUUCUACUUAAUUUUAAGAAAGUUGAGUAGCAACAUUCUAACUUCAUACAUAACAGUGCUUAUAUUGACAUGUAUUUAUUGAGGGCCUUUCUGGUGGCAUAGGGGUUAAGUGUCAGCGCUUCCACUACUAUGGUGUACCAAGAUGGCCUGAGAUCAAUCCCAGAUUCACCUUUUCUGCUCCCCACUCUGGUAAAUCCUCUUACCCCUCCCCCUAACCUCUGACCUACAAACCCAGUUCUACACAAAAAUUAAUUUAAAA